AGAGGGUCCGAAUAACGGGGCUGCACAGGCAGGCCACCAACAGCCAUCAGACAAAAUAGGUCCUAACACUUCAGUCUGUCUCAUAUCAAUCUUUAACACAUGACAACCGCACACUAGGUGGACAACACCCCUAUCAAUCACCAUCGGGGUCUGAAGUUAAGAGUCAAAAAUCUUAAAAUCACCCAGCAGCAGGUUUGGUAACGUUAUCUGGGUUAGCAUCUCGCCAAGGCUACCAGAGCUAGCGACAACUGCUGCCGAACAGAGUCACCAUAGACGAUCAUCUGCCUCCAUCUCACCCCUGUGCUAAGGAUAGGGUGAGACAGCGACUCUGCGGUUUCCUUUAAGACAAGUGUAAAUGUAAAAGGACUGACCAUAGUGGAGUUGGAGGCCUCGUCCCCGGCACAGACCAGCGUCCCGCCUCCGUCCGGACUCCUGAAGACGGCGUUCUUGGUGAGCAGUUUGCAGGACGAGCCGGCGUUGA